UACGUAGGGGCGAGCGUUGUCCGGAGUUACUGGGCGUAAAGCGCACGCAGGCGGUCUGCUAAGUUUGGAGUGACAGUUGGUGGCUUAACUGCCAAAGUGCUUCGAAACUGACAGACUUGAGGGCUUCAGAGGGACGCGGAAUUCCGGGUGGAGUGGUGGAAAUGCGUAGAGAUCCGGAGGAACACCAAAGGCGAAGGCAGUGUCCUGGGAGUACCUGACGCUCGAGGUGCGAAGCCAGGGAGCG
rnacentral:rRNA from 1 species